rnacentral:rRNA from 1 species
UACGUAGGGUGCAAGCGUUGUCCGGAAUUAUUGGGCGUAAGAGCUCGUAGGCGGUUUGUCGCGUCUGCUGUGAAAAACUCGGGGGCUUAACCCCCGGGCCUGCAGUGGGUACGGGCAGACUAGAGUGCGGUAGGGGAGACUGGAAUUCCUGGUGUAGCGGUGAAAUGCGCAGAUAAUCGGGAGGAACACCAAUGGCGAAGGCAG